ensembl:lincRNA
GCCUUCUUUGGUUGGUGAAUUUUUAAUUUGCAUUUUCUCCUUCCUUCAGUGGGCAACCUGUGAAGAUAUAGAGAGAAAAACAACUCAAAUGCAGGCUCACUUCCUCCUAUCCUAUGUUCACAGAACAAAUCACUUCUGAGACCGGAUGUGUAGGGAAUUUCCCCCACACACACCAAAUCAGGAAUCAGUUCAGCGAUGGGCAGCAGCCCAGUGUCCUCUACUUCAGUUCUGAUGCUACCUACCUGGGGUGAUGGCAUCAUUUCCACAGGUUAGGGGCUUACUUUACAUGUGUGUGUAUGUGUGUGUGUGUGUGUGUGUGUGUGAUUAUGUGUGUGUAUGUGUGUAUGUGUGUGUGUGUACUACUGGGCAAUGCAACUGAGUUACAUCUCCAGACCUUUAAAAAAUUUUUUUUUUAAAUUUUGAGACUGGUUCUUACUACAUCACUAAGUUACCACUAAGUUGCCCAGGCUGGGCUCAAAAUUGCAAUCCUCCUGCCUCAGCCUCCCUGAGUGCUGGGAUUACAGGUCACCUCCACUUUUAAUGCUAAUCACAAGCCCCAGGUUGUUUUACCCACAUGUUUUUAUUUUUAUUUUUUAUACAGGGUAGUUCAGGUUGACCUUGAACUCACCAUGUAGCCCAGGCUGGCCUCCGACUCAUGGCAAUCCUUUUGCCUCAACCUCCCAAGUGCUGGCUUAAUUUGCUUGAGUGGCUCACAGAACUCUGGGAAAUGCUUAACAUUUACUGCUUUAUUACCAAGGAUACAAAUCAAAAGAGACAGGGCAAGGCCUGUGGGAAAGAGCACAGUUUAUGUGCCGUCCCUAGAUCACCACUCUCUGGAAAUUUCUGCAUGUCCAGCUAAUCAGUCAGAAGCUCUUUGAACCCUGUCCUGUUGGGUCCUUAUGGAGCUUUCACUACACGGGUGUGAUUAAAACACAGACAGCCAUGUCACAAUGGAACUGGACAAGGGGGAUACUGUCAUGCUGUCAGGAUGAGUGCAAAGCCCAGAAAGCCUGGCCCUUCAGGUCCUCCUUGACAAUACUUCCUCCCAGGUGUGGGGCAGGAUCCUUUCUGAAAUGGUCUACUAUCAGUCAAGGUGAAGAAAAAUCACAGAGAGUGAGAUUUGGGGAACAUGUGAAGGAGGAAGGAUUAAUCUUCUCUUUGUUUCUAUCCUGGGAAAAACGAGAGAACUGUAGAGCUCCAAAUCGACAGUCUUCCUAGGAAGUUCUGAGAGUAGAACUGUCUUCUAGACUUCCUGGGUGUUGUAUAGGAUGUCAUUGAUGUGGUCUAAAGCAGUAGGGGGAUAACACAGUGGCCAGGGGCGCUGGCGUUAUAUUUCAUUUCCAAAUCUCAUCACUUACUAGCUGAACAAUUGGGGGCAAUUUUUUUUUUUUUAUGUUUGUUAGCAUUCAUCUGCAAACCACAAAAAACUUAACAGCCCUUACACAAGAGAGAUUUAUUUCUCUUAGAUAUAAAAGAAAUCCAGAUAUAAGUAGUAGAGGCUGAUAUGGUGGCUAAUAAACGGUGAUCAUAGGGGACCUAGGUUCUUUAUCCUUCGCAAGUACCACAUCUUUAGGUGUAACUGCGUAGUGCAAGAAAAGUAUUUGAGUUCUGAUGCCGACACAUCGAAGGAGGAAAAGGGCAAAAGAGAGUGUAGAAUGUGUAAAGACGAACUGUCUUCUAAGGGACUUUCCAGAGACAACUACACAAUGACUGUGCUUAUAAACCAUUGGCUAUAUAUUAUUUUGGUCAUUGUCACAGCUUGGACAAAUACAUCUGAAAGAUGCAAAUAUCUUGGGUGGCUCAUGCCCUGCUAAAAAUGAAGUUUUCUACUGUUAAAGAAGAGGAGGAGAAUGGAUAUAGAAGUAGCAGCUGCACCCUCUGUCAUGUUUUUCUAAGCCCAGGUUAAUUAUUUAUAAAGUGAGAAAACAGUACCUACAACCCAGGGUAAGUGAGAGAGUGUAAGUGAACCGCAGGCGCAGUGCCGUGCUCAGCAAACGCUAGCAGCUGUGGUCAGCGGGGUAUGUUUGAGGACUGCACUGUUAGGUGAUUUCUUCACUGUGCAAACAUCAUACAGCACUUGCACAAACCUGGAUGACAGAGGUCGAUCAUCUGACGUGGCCUUUUGAUGCAAUCAAGAGAUGAGAUAAACACAGGACAUUUGAAGCUGCUGCCUGGACAAUACAACAUGUUUUGAAGCAAAAAACCAAAAACAAACCUUUUUAAAACAAAUACAGUAAACUCUAAAAUAAUGAUAAGUAUAGUCUAAUAACAAAGUAGCCAUUUAUUAUCCUAUUAUGGACUGUACAUAACUCUUUGUGCUCUAUUUUUAGAUCACUGGCAGUAUAGUAGGUUUGUUCACACUAGCAUAAACACAAACACAUGAGUAACAUAUUGGGCUAUGACAUCACAAUAUGAUGACAUCACAGCUAUGAUGUCACUAGACAACAAGAAGUUUUCAGCCCCAU